GACGAACGCUGGCGGCGUGCCUAAUACAUGCAAGUAGAACGCAGUUGCGAACGGGUGAGUAACGCGUAGGUAACUUCCUCAUAGCGGGGGAUAACUAUUGGAAACGAUAGCUAAUACCGCAUACUUUGAGAUUGACCUGCUUUGUAUUAGCUAGUUGGGGAGGUAAAGGGUCACCAAGGCGACGAUCCAUAGCCGACUUGAGAGGGGGAUCGGGCAAAACUGGAAUGAGAAACGGCCCAGACUCCCACGGGAGGCAGCAGUAGGGAAUAUUUGGCAAUGGAGGGAAGGCUUAACGAGGAAAGCCGGGUGAGUGAAGAAGGGUUUCGGAUCGGAAAGCUAUGUUGUGAGAGAAGCGGUAACUAAAGAGAAAGGGACGGCUAACUACGUGCCAGCAGCCGCGGUAAUAC
rnacentral:rRNA from 1 species